GGAGCGGCAGACGGGUGAGUAACGCGUGGGAACGUACCUUUUGCUACGGAAUAACUCAGGGAAACUUGUGCUAAUACCGUAUGUGCCCUUCGGGGGAAAGAUUUAUCGGCAAAGGAUCGGCCCGCGUUGGAUUAGCUAGUUGGUGAGGUAAAGGCUCACCAAGGCGACGAUCCAUAGCUGGUCUGAGAGGAUGAUCAGCCACACUGGGACUGAGACACGGCCCAGACUCCUACGGGAGGCAGCAGUGGGGAAUAUUGGACAAUGGGCGCAAGCCUGAUCCAGCCAUGCCGCGUGAGUGAUGAAGGCCCUAGGGUUGUAAAGCUCUUUCACCGGUGAAGAUAAUGACGGUAACCGGAGAAGAAGCCCCGGCUAACUUCGUGCCAGCAGCCGCGGUAAUACGAAGGGGGCUAGCGUUGUUCGGAUUUACUGGGCGUAAAGCGCACGUAGGCGGACUUUUAAGUCAGGGGUGAAAUCCCGGGGCUCAACCCCGGAACUGCCUUUGAUACUGGAAGUCUUGAGUAUGGUAGAGGUGAGUGGAAUUCCGAGUGUAGAGGUG
rnacentral:rRNA from 1 species